rnacentral:RNase_P_RNA from 1 species
CACUAUAGCUAACUUGUCGCGUGGUUUGAUAGAGGAUCAUGAGGAAAGUCCGGACACCAUAGUGCAGUACAGCGGGUAACGCCCGUCGUUUCAGUUUUCUGAAAAAGGACCAGUGCAACAGAAAGUAUGUACAGUUAGGCUGUAGUGAAACCAGGUAAACUCUGUAUGGUGCAAUGCUAUGUAUAUCAGCUGUUAAGAGUUGCACGCUCGAUGCUGAGGGGUAAGCAGAUAGAGGUUUGUGGCAACACAAACCCUAGAUAAAUGACAAGUCUCGACAGAAUCCGGCUUAUCGGCUAUUAUUUAAA